rnacentral:ncRNA from 2 species
GCUAACCAUCCUCCAUCAGGUGCCCAGUAGGGAGAAUCGGGAAGCCAGUGAAGAUCUGGCGCGGGCCCGCCGCUGUGAUGGGGACGAAACGUCAAAGACCACUGAGGAAACUUGGGAAGGUGGUGAUUUCGGAAGAUCCAAAGCCAGAAGACCGGCCUGAUGACACAGGUCUGC